rnacentral:tRNA from 1 species
UCCCAUGUGGCUCAGCUGGUAAAGAAUCUGCCUUCAAUGCGGGAGACCUGGGUUCGAUCCCUGGGUUGGGAA